rnacentral:rRNA from 1 species
UACGGGGGGGGCAAGCGUUGUUCGGAAUUACUGGGCGUAAAGGGCUCGUAGGCGGCCAACUAAGUCAUACGUGAAAUCCCUCGGCUUAACCGGGGAACUGCGUCUGAUACUGGAUGGCUUGAGUUCGGGAGAGGGAUGCGGAAUUCCAGGUGUAGCGGUGAAAUGCGCAGAUAUCAGGAAGAACACCAAUGGCGAAGGCAGCUCUCUGGGACGGUACUGACGCUGAGACGCGAAAGCGUGGGGAGCGAACAGG